GACGUAGGGGGCGAGCGUUGUCCGGAGUUACUGGGCGUAAAGGGCGCGCAGGCGGUCGCGCGCGCGCACCGUGAAAGCCCCCGGCUCAACCGGGCGGUGGCGGGCGGGACGGCGCGGCUGGAGGGUGGUAGGGGCCAGUGGAAUUCCCGGUGUAGUGGUGAAAUGCGUAGAGUACCGGGAGGAACACCCGCAGCGAAGGCGGCUGGCUGGGCCAUUCCUGGACGCUGAGGCGCGAAGGCUCGGGAGCGAA
rnacentral:rRNA from 1 species